GUAGCAUAAUCAUUAGGGGUUUAAUUGGAACCUGGUAUGAAGGGUCGGACAAAGGAAAAACUGUCUUUAUGGCUUAAGUUGAAAUUUACUUUUAAGUGAAAAGGCUUAAAUGAAUCAAAGGGACGAUAAGACCCUAUAAAGGUUUAUAGAUAAUUUAAUUUUGGUUAAUUUAAAAAAUAAAAGCUAAAUUUAGUUAUUCUAUUUUGUUGGGGUGAUGUGAGUAUAAUUGUUAUUAACUGCUUAUAAAAAAUUCUCUUAUAGGAGAGUCAGUAAUGGAGGAUCCUUUUUAAAGAUUAAAAGAAUAAGUUACUUUAGGGAUAACAGCGUUAUUUCUUUUGAGAGUUCAUAUCGAAAAAGAAGAUUGCGACCUCGAUGUUGAAUUAAAAUAUCUAUAUAAUGCAGCCGUUAUAAAAGAGGGUCUGUUCGACCUUUAAAUUUUU
rnacentral:rRNA from 1 species